CAAGCAGGAAAAAUGCCUGAACACUCACCUGCCUCAGUUGUUCAGGUCUUCAGGAGGUGUGCAAUGGAAGACAGCCAGACCCAGUCAGGUGCUGUGAAAGACCACAGCCCUGUCCUGGGGUGCGUCCGGCGUAAGCUGCAGACACACACUCCAAGAGCUGGGGUCAUUCUUUGGUGACAGGAAGGAGCUUCACUUCAAAAGCCAUUUGCUUUGGCAUGAAUAAUAACAAAUCAGCUGACCUAUAACCCUGCAGUGAGUUCAGGAAAAGUGUGUCCCACUAAACAAUUAGUGUCCACAGUGACGUAUCGAACAGUUCUUUUUGCAACAGUUUUUUUUUUUUUUUUUUAGACAGAGUUUCGCUCUUGUUUCCCAGGCUGGAGUGCAGUGGCUCGAUCUCAGCUCACUGCAAUCUCCGCCUCCUGGGUUCAAGCAAUUCUCCUGCCUCAGCCUUCCGAGUAGCUGGGACUACAGGUGUGUGCCACCACGCCCAGCUACUUUUUGUAUAUUUUUUUUAGUAGAGACAGGGUUUCACCAUGUUGACCAGGAUGGUCUCGAUCUCUUGACCUCGUGAUCUGCCCGCCUCGGCCUCCCAAAGUGCUGGGAUUACAGGCGUGAGCCACCGCGCCCGGCCUGCAACAGGUUUUAAAGACAUUAUACUACAUGCAGAAUAAGAAAGAAGGAGAAGAAAAAGGAAUUGUAUUUUUACCGUGAUGGGAAGAAGAUGGAUCUUUCUGCAGUGGGAUGGUUUUAGCUUCUAGGAAAUUCACUCUUAAGAGCAGCUUCCAGCCUUUGAGAUGCCCCGGUGUGCAGGAAGCUCAAGCCAGCUUGGCUCACUGGCUCCAGCAUGUCUCUGGUCUCUUCCUUGUGCAUCAGGAAUCACUUUGGACUGGCCCAAGAGUGGGGCUGUGGGCACGCAGAGCACACCAGAUUUCUGAAUGAUUAUGGCCAUGCAUCAUUGUGUAGGGACUUUAAGAAGCUGCUGAAGAACAAAAAUGAAGGUGGGAGCUGUUGGUGUCGAGUGACUCAUAGCACCAUCCUUCAGGGACGGUGUGGUUGGCCAGAGUAUGGUCAGGGAGAGCCAAGAGAAGAAGUGCUUCUGAGUAUGACCCAGCAGGGUGGAAAGAAGGAGUCGUCUCCCAAGUGCACAUUUGUUGGAGGAAGCUUUUGUGGGCUCCUGACAUUCCAUUAUUCUAGAACUACAAGGAGACACCCUCCAGAGAAAGCAGCAACAAGGCACCAUCUUGGAAGCUGA
rnacentral:lncRNA from 13 species